rnacentral:rRNA from 1 species
AGUUUGAUCCUGGCUCAGGACGAACGCUGGCGGCGUGCCUAAUACAUGCAAGUCGAGCGGACAGAUGGGAGCUUGCUCCCUGAUGUUAGCGGCGGACGGGUGAGUAACACGUGGGUAACCUGCCUGUAAGACUGGGAUAACUCCGGGAAACCGGGGCUAAUACCGGAUGCUUGUUUGAACCGCAUGGUUCAAACAUAAAAGGUGGCUUCGGCUACCACUUACAGAUGGACCCGCGGCGCAUUAGCUAGUUGGUGAGGUAACGGCUCACCAAGGCAACGAUGCGUAGCCGACCUGAGAGGGUGAUCGGCCACACUGGGACUGAGACACGGCCCAGACUCCUACGGGAGGCAGCAGUAGGGAAUCUUCCGCAAUGGACGAAAGUCUGACGGAGCAACGCCGCGUGAGUGAUGAAGGUUUUCGGAUCGUAAAGCUCUGUUGUUAGGGAAGAACAAGUACCGUUCGAAUAGGGCGGUACCUUGACGGUACCUAACCAGAAAGCCACGGCUAACUACGUGCCAGCAGCCGCGGUAAUACGUAGGUGGCAAGCGUUGUCCGGAAUUAUUGGGCGUAAAGGGCUCGCAGGCGGUUCCUUAAGUCUGAUGUGAAAGCCCCCGGCUCAACCGGGGAGGGUCAUUGGAAACUGGGGAACUUGAGUGCAGAAGAGGAGAGUGGAAUUCCACGUGUAGCGGUGAAAUGCGUAGAGAUGUGGAGGAACACCAGUGGCGAAGGCGACUCUCGGUCUGUAACGAC